GUGCCACUUCAGCAACACAUGUACUCAAAUUGGAAUGAUACAGAGAAGAUUAGCAUGGCCGCUGCACAAGGAUGACAUGCAAAUUCAUGAAGCAUUUCAUAUUUUA
rnacentral:snRNA from 1 species